UACGUAGGGGGCAAGCGUUGUCCGGAAUCAUUGGGCGUAAAGAGCGUGUAGGCGGCCCGGUAAGUCCGCUGUGAAAGUCCAGGGCUCAACCCUGGGAUGCCGGUGGAUACUGUCGGGCUCGAGUCCGGAAGAGGAGCGUGGAAUUCCUGGUGUAGCGGUGAAAUGCGCAGAUAUCAGGAGGAACACCAAUGGCGAAGGCAGCACUCUGGGACGUGACUGACGCUGAGACGCGAAAGCGUGGGGAGCAAACAGG
rnacentral:rRNA from 1 species